CAGGCGCGUCACGCCACCGGGCUGGUCUUGCUCGACGAUCCCUUCGGUGCCCUCGCCGUACAACUCCGCGACCAGCGCGUCCUUGUCGUCCGUGGGCACCGUGAGGGACAGAGAAACCAUGCUCAAUAGUAGUCCGCGCAGCUCAUAUAGUAGCCGCACCGCUCACACAGCAGCUUGCACUUGCGCGAGGUCAGGCGGCUGGCGCAGGUGGGGCAAGUUAGCAUGGCCUCCUCUUCGCGGCUCAUGGAACGGGACGGGGCAGGGUC
rnacentral:misc_RNA from 1 species